GUUGACCUCGGAUCAGGUAGGGAUACCCGCGCGCAGCACAUUGCGCUUCUGGAGGCUCCGGCGGAUCGGCGUCCAUCAAGUCCACACCCACAGUUGACCUCGGAUCAGGUAGGGAUACCCG
rnacentral:rRNA from 1 species